AGUAGAAGUUGCAAGUCGCGUUGUUACUCUGUAAACAAGAGCUUUAAAAAUGGAGUAGAUUUAAAUGGAUGAAAAGUUAAUAAUAGAUUUUAAUUGAAUGGAUUUUUCGAUAAAUAGGGAGUAUCAUUCAAAUAAAAUUGAAUUUAGAGGCGGUUGAUUUUUGGUUGAAUGAAAUGUUUUGAAAAUGGCGCUGAUCAUUUAACUAAACUCAUACCUAAAAGAACGAAUGAUUAAACCAGAAGCAACUUAAAAGUUGUUUAUCAAUGGGAAAUCUCAAUAAGCACUUACAUACCUUGCCUAAACUGCAUUCUCCAGCGACCUAAAAAUCUCAGUGCGAUAAUUCUGAAGUCCAUCAUUACUAUUAAAUUUAAUCUUUUAUAUACGUCGUAUGAAAACCUUUUUCUUGACUAUAAAAAUCAUGACAAAUGAAAAUUUCGGCUAAAAAAACGUAGCAUUUCAUAUCAUAAACAGGGAGAGAUGAAUAUAAAAACCGUCAAUCCUUAGAAAGGAAACGUAAUGAAGCUAUGUCCAACAAAAAUUUAGUUCAAGCUUUUCUUCGAUAAUUCGAAUUCAUGAACACAUGUAAAAUGCUUAUUAAUCAAUUAUGCUAAG